rnacentral:rRNA from 1 species
GACGAACGCUGGCGGCGUGCCUAACACAUGCAAGUCGAACGGAAACGCCCUGCUUUGUUGCGCUGCUCGAGUUGACAAGUGGUGAGUAACACGUGAGUAACCUACCACUCACUUUGGGAUAUCUUCAUGAAACUGAAGGUAAUACCAGCAAAGAUCUCCCGCUGCUUGGUGGGGGUUGGAUAGUUUAGUCGGUUGGGGAUGGACGCGCCUCUGAUUAGCUUGGUGGUAGGGUGGUAGCAUACCAAGGUGAUGACGCAUAGCUGGUCUGAGAGGAUGACCAGCCACACUGGGACUGAGACACGGCCCAGACUCCCACGGAAGGCAGCAGUGGGGAAUAUUGUACGAUGGGGGAAAGCCUGAUCCAGCAAUGCCGCGUGAGUGAGGAAGGCCGUAGGGUUGUAAAGCUCUUUUACCCGGGAUGAUAAUGACGGUACCGGGAGAAUAAGCUCCGGCUAACUCCGUG